CCUACGGGUGGCAGCAGUCGAGAAUCAUUCACAAUGGGGGAAACCCUGAUGGUGUGACGCCGCGUGGGGGAAUGAAGGUCUUCGGAUUGUAAACCCCUGUCAUGUGGGAGCAAAUUAAAAAGAUAGUACCACAAGAGGAAGAGACGGCUAACUCUGUGCCAGCAGCCGCGGUAAUACAGAGGUCUCAAGCGUUGUUCGGAAUCACUGGGCGUAAAGCGUGCGUAGGCUGUUUCGUAAGUCGUGUGUGAAAGGCGCGGGCUCAACCCGCGGACGGCACAUGAUACUGCGAGACUAGAGUGAUGGAGGGGGAACCGGAAUUCUCGGUGUAGCAGUGAAAUGCGUAGAUAUCGAGAGGAACACUCGUGGCGAAGGCGGGUUCCUGGACAUUAACUGACGCUGAGGCACGAAGGCCAGGGGAGCGAAAGGGAUUAGAUACCCCAGUAGUC
rnacentral:rRNA from 1 species